rnacentral:rRNA from 1 species
UACAGAGGGUGCGAGCGUUAUUCGGAAUUACUGGGCGUAAAGCGCGCGUAGGCGGUUUUGUAAGUCGGGUGUGAAAUCCCCAAGCUUAACUUGGGAACUGCAUUCGAGACUGCAUAGCUAGAGUAUGGGAGAGGGAAGUGGAAUUUCAGGUGUAACGGUGAAAUGCGUAGAUAUCUGAAGGAACAUCAGUGACGAAAGCGACUUCCUGGACCAAUACUGACGCUCAUGUGCGAAAGCGUGGGGAGCAAACAGG